UAGUUUAAUAGAAAAUAUUGAAUUGUGAAUUCAAA
rnacentral:tRNA from 1 species